CUGAUGAAGGUUUCUACAAGUGUCAGUACUCAGGAAGAGAGUCAGCACAGAGCUGGAUGUCAGUUAAAGUAACUGUGUCAGGAGCUGACAGCUCUUCAUCUCCUGUGUGGUUGAUUGUUGGACUGGUUUGUGGAGUCUCUCUCAUUAUUAUUCUCCUGCUCUUGUUGUAUCGCUGCAGAACGACCAACAGUGCUGCUAAUGAGCAGACGCUCAAGCAGGAUGAAGGUCAGCAGCACGUGUACUCCUCUCUUCUUCAUGGUGAUCGUUGUGUCUAUGAGACACUCAGAAGAUGUGAAAACCCUGAAAAUGGUCCAGCAGAAGGUGAUUACACCAAUGUCACAUCUGUGAUUCAGCUCAAAGUCAUUAACAAGACAAGGCAACGUGGUGACCCAGAGGAGAGCUCUGACUACAAUAAUGUCAAUCCAAAUUCAGCCUCAGCUCUAAAAUCUUAACAGCAGCUCUUUAGCUGUUUGUCUCUUUUUCUGUGUAACGUCUGUUAAAAACUUGAAGUGACUUUGAGUGAAAAGUCACAGAGUUGAUUUUGAAUUCAAAGCAAUGAUCCUGAUAGCCCGCGUUUCUAUUUACCUUCAGAAAGAAUCACUCAGUGUGUUUUGCUUGUUUCUCUCCCAUUAGAUAAUAAUUUUAAUGGACUUUAAUGUGCUGUAGAUCUGUUUUUAUCUUUUAAACAGUU
ensembl:lncRNA